rnacentral:rRNA from 1 species
UACGAAGGGUGCAAGCGUUACUCGGAAUUACUGGGCGUAAAGCGUGCGUAGGCGGUUUGUUAAGUCCGUUGUGAAAGCCCUGGGCUCAACCUGGGAAUUGCAGUGGAUACUGGCGAGCUAGAGUGCGGUAGAGGAUGGUGGAAUUCCCGGUGUAGCGGUGAAAUGCGUAGAGAUCGGGAGGAACACCCGUGGCGAAGGCGGCUCGCUGGGCCGGUCCUGACACUGAGGCGCGAAGGCGUGGGGAGCGAACGGG